AGUUUGAUUCCUGGCUCAGAUUGAACGCUGGCGGCAUGCCUAACACAUGCAAGUCGAACGGUAACAGGUCUUCGGAUGCUGACGAGUGGCGGACGGGUGAGUAAUGCGUAGGAAUCUGUCUUUUAGUGGGGGACAACCCAGGGAAACUUGGGCUAAUACCGCAUGAGCCCUGAGGGGGAAAGCGGGGGAUCUUCGGACCUCGCGCUAAGAGAGGAGCCAUCGUCCGAUCAGCUAGUUGGCGGGGUAAAGGCCCACCGAGGCGACGAUCGGUAGCUGGUCUGAGAGGACGCCAGCCACACUGGGACUGAGACACGGCCCAGACUCCUACGGGAGGCAGCAGUGGGGAAUUUUUCGCAAUGGGGGCAACCCUGACGAAGCAAUGCCGCGUGGAUGAAGAAGGCCUUCGGGUUGUAAAGUCCUUUCGUGGAGGACGAAAAGGUGGGUUCUAAUACAAUCUGCCAUUGACGUGAAUCCAAGAAGAAGCACCGCCUAACUCCGUGCCAGCAGCCGCGGUAAUACGGGGGGUGCAAGCGUUAAUCGGAAUCACUGGGCGUAAAGGGUGCGUAGGCGGUACGUUAGGUCUGUCGUGAAAUCCCCGGGCUCCACCUGGGAAUGGCGUGUGAAACCGGUGUACAUGAGUAUGGGAGAGGGUGGUGGAAUUCCAGGUGUAGCGGUGAAAUGCGUAGAGAUCUGGAGGAACAUCAGUGGCGAAGGCGGACCACCUGGCCCAAUACUGACGCUGAGGCACGGAGCCGGGGUGGG
rnacentral:rRNA from 1 species